rnacentral:rRNA from 1 species
GAUGAACGCUGGCGGCGUGCCUAAUACAUGCAAGUCGAGCGAACAGACGAGGAGCUUGCUCCUCUGACGUUAGCGGCGGACGGGGGAGUAACACGUGGAUAACCUACCUAUAAGACUGGGAUAACUUCGGGAAACCGGAGCUAAUACCGGAUAAUAUAUUGAACCGCAUGGUUCAAUAGUGAAAGACGGUUUUGCUGUCACUUAUAGCUGGAUCCGCGCCGCAUUAGCUAGUUGGUAAGGUAACGGCUUACCAAGGCGACGAUGCGUAGCCGACCUGAGAGGGUGAUCGGCCACACUGGAACUGAGACACAGUCCAGACUCCUACGGGAGGCAGCAGUAGGAAAUCUGCCGCAAUGGGCGGAAGCCUGACGGAGCAACGCCGCGUGAGUGAUGAAGAUCUUCGGAUCGGAAAACUCUGUUAUUAGGGAAGAACAAAUUUGUAAUUAACUAUGCACGUCUUGACGGUACCUAAUCAGAAAGCCACGGCUAAGUACGUG